CCUACGGGAGGCAGCAGUAGGGAAUAUUGCUCAAUGGGGGAAACCCUGAAGCAGCAACGCCGCGUGGAGGAUGAAUGUUUUCGGAUUUUAAACUCCUUUUGUUAGAGAAGAUAAUGACGGUAUCUAACGAAUAAGCACCGGCUAACUCCGUGCCAGCAGCCGCGGUAAUACGGAGGGUGCAAGCGUUACUCGGAAUCACUGGGCGUAAAGAGCGCGUAGGCGGGAUAGCAAGUCAGAUGUGAAAUCCUAUGGCUUAACCAUAGAACUGCAUUUGAAACUGUUAUUCUAGAGUAUGGGAGAGGUAGGUGGAAUUCUUGGUGUAGGGGUAAAAUCCGUAGAGAUCAAGAGGAAUACUCAUUGCGAAGGCGACCUGCUAGAACAUAACUGACGCUGAUGCGCGAAAGCGUGGGGAGCAAACAGGAUUAGAUACCCUUGUAGUC
rnacentral:rRNA from 1 species